rnacentral:rRNA from 1 species
CUGGCGGCGUGCUUAACACAUGCAAGUCGAACGAUGAAGCCCUUCGGGGUGGAUUAGUGGCGAACGGGUGAGUAACACGUGGGCAAUCUGCCCUUCACUCUGGGACAAGCCCUGGAAACGGGGUCUAAUACCGGAUACCACUCCUGCCCGCAUGGGCGGGGGUUGAAAGCUCCGGCGGUGAAGGAUGAGCCCGCGGCCUAUCAGCUUGUUGGUGGGGUAAUGGCCCACCAAGGCGACGACGGGUAGCCGGCCUGAGAGGGCGACCGGCCACACUGGGACUGAGACACGGCCCAGACUCCUACGGGAGGCAGCAGUGGGGAAUAUUGCACAAUGGGCGAAAGCCUGAUGCAGCGACGCCGCGUGAGGGAUGACGGCCUUCGGGUUGUAAACCUCCUUCAGC